rnacentral:rRNA from 1 species
AACGAACGCUGGCGGCAGGCUUAACACAUGCAAGUCGAGCGAGACCUUCGGGUCUAGCUGCGGACGUGUGAGUAACGCGUGGGAACGUGCCCUUCUCUACGGAAUAGCCCCGGGAAACUGGGAUUAAUACCGUAUACGCCCUUUGGGGGAAAGAUUUAUCGGAGAAGGAUCGGCCCGCGUUGGAUUAGGUAGUUGGUGGGGUAAUGGCCCACCAAGCCGACGAUCCAUAGCUGGUUGGAGAGGAUGAUCAGCCACACUGGGAAUGAGACACGGCCCAGACUCCUACGGGAGGCAGCAGUGGGGAAUCUUAGACAAGGGGGGCAAACCUGAUCAAGCCAUGCCGGGUGAGUGAUGAAGGCCUUAGGGUUGCAAAGCUGUUUCAGCUGGGAAGAUAAUGACGGUACCAGCAGAAGAAGCCCCGGCUAACUACGUG